AAAUGAAUUGACGGGGGCCCGCACAAGCGGCGGAGCAUGCGGAUUAAUUCGAUGCAACGCGAAGAACCUUACCUGGGCUUGACAUGUUCCUGACGGUCGCGGAGACGCGGCUUCCCUUCGGGGCAGGUUCACAGGUGGUGCAUGGUCGUCGUCAGCUCGUGUCGUGAGAUGUUGGGUUAAGUCCCGCAACGAGCGCAACCCUCGCCUUGUGUUGCCAGCACGUCAUGGUGGGAACUCGCAAGGGACCGCCGGGGUUAACUCGGAGGAAGGUGGGGAUGACGUCAGAUCAUCAUGCCCCUUACGUCCAGGGCUUCACGCAUGCUACAAUGGCCGGUACAACGGGAUGCGACGCGGUGACGCGGAGCGGAUCCCUUAAAACCGGUCUCAGUUCGGAUUGGAGUCUGCAACUCGACUCCAUGAAGGCGGAGUCGCUAGUAAUCGCGAAUCAGCAACGUCGCGGUGAAUGCGUUCCCGGGCCUUGUACACACCGCCCGU
rnacentral:rRNA from 1 species